rnacentral:rRNA from 1 species
AGAGUUUGAUCCUGGCUCAGAAUAAACGCUGGCGGCGUGCUUAACACAUGCAAGUCGCACGAGAACGCUUCAGCUUGCUGAAGUAAGUAAAGUGGCGCACGGGUGAGUAACGCGUGGGUAAUCUACCCUCAAAUUGGGGAUAACCCGCCGAAAGGCGGGCUAAUACCGAAUGACAUCUUGAAGACUUAUGUUUUCAGGAUCAAAGGUGGCCUCUACAUGUAAGCUAUUGUUUGGGGAUGAGCCCGCGUACCAUUAGCUUGUUGGUAGGGUAAUGGCCUACCAAGGCUACGAUGGUUAGCUGGUCUGAGAGGAUGAUCAGCCACACUGGAACUGACACACGGUCCAGACUCCUACGGGAGGCAGCAGUGAGGAAUUUUGCGCAAUGGGGGAAACCCUGACGCAGCAACGCCGCGUGAGUGAUGAAGGCUUUCGGGUCGUAAAGCUCUGUCAAGUGGGAAGAACUCAUAUGGUGUUAAUAUCUCCAUAUGCUGACGGUACCACUGAAGGAAGCACCGGCUAACUCCGUGCCAGCAGCCGCGGUAAUACGGGGGGUGCGAGCGUUAUUCGGAAUUACUGGGCGUAAAGAGCGCGUAGGCGGUCUUUUAAGUCAGGUGUGAAAGCCCGGGGCUCAACCCCGGAAGUGCACUUGAAACUAAGAGACUUGAGUAUGGGAGAGGGAAGUGGAAUUCCUGGUGUAGCGGUGAAAUGCGUAGAUAUCAGGAGGAACAUCAGUGGCGAAGGCGACUUCCUGGACCAAUACUGACGCUGAGGCGCGAAGGCGUGGGGAGCAAACAGGAUUAGAUACCCUGGUAGUCCACGCAGUAAACGGUGAACACUAGGUGUAGCGGGUAUUGACCCCUGCUGUGCCGCAGCAAACGCAUUAAGUGUUCCGCCUGGGGAGUACGGCCGCAAGGUUAGAACUCAAAGGAAUUGACGGGGGCCCGCACAAGCGGUGGAGCAUGUGGUUUAAUUCGACGCAACGCGAAGAACCUUACCUAGGUUUGACAUCCCGGGAAUCCUGUGGAAACACGGGAGUGCCCUUCGGGGAACUCGGUGACAGGUGCUGCAUGGCUGUCGUCAGCUCGUGUCGAGAGAUGUUGGGUUAAGUCCCGCAACGAGCGCAACCCCUUUCUUUAGUUACCAUCAUUUAGUUGGGGACUCUAAAGACACUGCCCCGGUUAACGGGGCGGAAGGGGGAUGACGUCAAGUCCUCAUGGCCUUUAUGCCUAGGGCUACACACGUGCUACAAUGGACUGUACAAAGGGUUGCCAGCC